CCGCACAAGCGGUGGAGCAUGUGGUUUAAUUCGAUGCAACGCGAAGAACCUUACCUACUCUUGACAUCCAGAGAACUUUCCAGAGAUGGAUUGGUGCCUUCGGGAACUCUGAGACAGGUGCUGCAUGGCUGUCGUCAGCUCGUGUUGUGAAAUGUUGGGUUAAGUCCCGCAACGAGCGCAACCCUUAUCCUUUGUUGCCAGCGGUUCGGCCGGGAACUCAAAGGAGACUGCCAGUGAUAAACUGGAGGAAGGUGGGGAUGACGUCAAGUCAUCAUGGCCCUUACGAGUAGGGCUACACACGUGCUACAAUGGCGCAUACAAAGAGAAGCGACCUCGCGAGAGCAAGCGGACCUCAUAAAGUGCGUCGUAGUCCGGAUUGGAGUCUGCAACUCGACUCCAUGAAGUCGGAAUCGCUAGUAAUCGUAGAUCAGAAUGCUACGGUGAAUACGUUCCCGGGCCUUGUACACACCGCCCGUCACACCAUGGGAGUGGGUUGCAAAAGAAGUAGGUAGCUUAACCUUCGGGAGGGCGCUUACCACUUUGUGAUUCAUGACUGGGGUG
rnacentral:rRNA from 1 species